rnacentral:misc_RNA from 1 species
AAGUCGUAACAAGGUUUCCGUAGGUGAACCUGCGGAAGGAUCAUUAUCGUUAAACCGAGGCGCGAGGGCUGUCGCUGACCUUCCCCGGUCGUGCACGCCCGAGCCCUCUCACAAUCCAUCUCACCCCUUGUGCAUCACCGCGUGGGUCUCCCUUUGCCGGAGGGCCCGCGUCUUUACACAAAACUCGAUACAGUGUAGAAUGUUUUAUUUUCGCGCUCGCACGCGAUCAAUAAUACAACUUUCAACAACGGAUCUCUUGGCUCUC